rnacentral:pre_miRNA from 7 species
UUUUUCGAUGUGUCUAGCCUGGGAUUGAAAGACCCCCGAAGGGAGACCCUCACUCAAGCCUCGGGACAGCCGCGGACCCAAGAAGACACUGAGACCG